GAUGAACGCUGGCGGCGUGCCUAAUACAUGCAAGUCGAGCGAACAGACGAGGAGCUUGCUCCUCUGACGUUAGCGGCGGACGGGUGAGUAACACGUGGAUAACCUACCUAUAAGACUGGGAUAACUUCGGGAAACCGGAGCUAAUACCGGAUAAUAUAUUGAACCGCAUGGUUCAAUAGUGAAAGACGGUUUUGCUGUCACUUAUAGAUGGAUCCGCGCCGCAUUAGCUAGUUGGUAAGGUAACGGCUUACCAAGGCGACGAUGCGUAGCCGACCUGAGAGGGUGAUCGGCCACACUGGAACUGAGACACGGUCCAGACUCCUACGGGAGGCAGCAGUAGGAAAUCUUCCGCAAUGGGCGAAAGCCUGACGGAGCAACGCCGCGUGAGUGAUGAAGGUCUUCGGAUCGUAAAACUCUGUUAUUAGGGAAGAACAAAUGUGUAAGUAACUAUGCACGUCUUGACGGUAACUAAUCAGAAAGCCACGGCUAACUACGUG
rnacentral:rRNA from 1 species